AGGGUUUGAUUCUGGCUCAGGAUGAACGCUAGCGGCAGGCUUAACACAUGCAAGUCGAGGGGCAGCGAGAUCAAAGCUUGCUUUGAUUGUCGGCGACCGGCGCACGGGUGCGUAACGCGUAUGCAACCUACCCACUACAGGGGGAUAACACUGAGAAAUCGGUACUAAUACCCCAUAAUAUCUUGGAAGGCAUCUUCUGAGGUUGAAAACUCCGGUGGUAGUGGAUGGGCAUGCGUUGUAUUAGCUGGUUGGUGAGGUAACGGCUCACCAAGGCGACGAUACAUAGGGGGACUGAGAGGUUAACCCCCCACAUUGGUACUGAGACACGGACCAA
rnacentral:rRNA from 1 species